CCCGAGACUCUAGGAGCAUCCCACGUCCAUCGCAAGAUCGCCCCCGCGCUAUCGCUGCGAAAACAGAAGCCCAAGUGUCCCGCGCCAAGCUUCCGCCACCGCCGGAGUUGCACGCCGCGCCCUAUCUUCGCCGCCGAAGCCGAUCCGACGCCUACAAGGGGCUCUACUGCGACACAAGUUCGCGAGGAAGCUCCCCGUAGCGAUAUCGUUGACCAUAGACCACCGGAGCACCGCCGCCGACGCACACGGAUCCUCUUCGCCGCCUCUCGCCGUCGCCCGCACAGUACAGAGGCUCGCGACGCCCAAUUCCGCGUCAAACGGGCUCGCCUAAACCUCCCGAUCGCUCUCCUCUGCUCUCUGACGAGUUUCCAACGCUGCAUCGCGAUUCCGACGAAGUCCGGCAGUAGUGUUGCCGCGGAGCAAGUCGCCACCGCGGUACAGCACACCGGGGAAGAAGCAGGUGCUCGAGUAACUAACCUCAAUAGUUAGGAUGCCUCGAGCUGGCGGUCGAUGGGCAUAUUGGCUACCUAGGGUCAUUGCCGAACUGGGGUACCUCUCUUGCAGCAUCGUGGCGUGCUACGUGGAAAGAGAGUACAUCAAAGGACGAGAAGUCAUUGAUUUUCCUGAGUUGAUCGUUCCUGAGUUGAUAGUUCGUGGACUGAUCGUAUUAGGAAUGUCUACUUUGCCAGAUAACAUAUUUUUCUUAAUCCUUGACAAAAUUGAUGUGCAUGAUGCACGGGAGGACCGGAGGAUCCAUAGGCGCUUUUUCUUGAAUGAUGUGGACCGUAGAAACCGAAAUAGAUGAGCAUAUCCUGAUGAGGAAGUCAACAAAAUAUAUGUUCGGAAAAAUUAUAGUGAAUGCUCUAUGAACUGUUUAUGUUUA